UUCAUGCUAUACUCCACUUGUCCGUCCAGCUAUCAGAACGAGCACCUUGAUCUCGUACACCCGUCAGACGAGAGAUGUGAAAUUUUGUUAGCGCUUUUUAUGAGACUCUGCCGCAUGGAAAUGCCCUCAUUGUUAUCAUACAAAAUGCGUAGUCAUUUUCCAAAUUUUCAGGAAAUCAAAGAGGGCUUGAAGAAAAUUCGGGAUUUUUCUUUAUAGUAGAUAUUUAAAUAUUCCAUUAUUCUGAUAAAUUGGCUCCCAAAUCUGUGAGCUUGUCCACCAUUUUGCAUGUGUGGUUUCAAAUCAAUCAAAUAAAAGACUGGGAAAAAUCGGGCUUGUACGGUGUUAAUUCUCUCGUUGGGUAUCCUUAUAGUCGGUAGAGUCGUCGGGUCUUUGGUUUGAUUAUUUUGUCAAAAAUAAAAAUAAAAAAUUAACUAAACCAAAAAAAGAAACUGGAAAUUCAUUAAUAUGUUAAUUUUUUUUUGUCUUGGCUCAUUGAUUGUGUCUGUGUGACUGUAUGUCUCUGGCUCUGUAUCUGUCGUCUGCCUCUGUGUGUGUCUGCCUGAAGUUGUUGCUUUUGCCGUUGGCUAAGCAGAUUUUGGGAUUUCAGGCAAUGUGAUUUUGUGAAUUGAACAUUCCCUAAGCCCCAGACAGAAAACAGCAGAGGUGCUGGCCAUUUCCAGGUCUUAGUUCUCGGGUUUCGAUCACGCUCCGUCGAGGCGAUCAAAAGGCGCGCGCGCAGCUGAUUCCAACACAAAAUUUCUUGUACAGUAAAAGCUCGCUGAGGUGCACACACUCCGAUCACAGGAAGAAGCACGUCGAUUCUGCAGUCUUUUAGAAAUCUAUUCGCUCGAAACAGCUUUCCCUCGUUGAUAGGAAAGAAGAAGCAGUGCACCCAAUUUUGUGUUUCGGUGUUUCAGGUGCUGAUGUUGUUGUUGGUGUUGCUGUUUCCUCUGUUGCUUUUUGGGUCUUUGGUCUCACUGUUUGAUAUUCCAAUUCGAUUGGUUAGCGUUUGGGCGCCGCCAUUUACGCUGCUCGAGCGUGUUCUUUGCAUUUUCAAAAAACCGAAACAGCACUCGCACGCAUACAAAGACGCACACUCACUCUCACAGAAAAAAUAAUAAUAAUAAUAAAUAAGAAUGAGAAACAGCGAGAAAGAAACAGCGAUUCGAGGGAACCAACCGAACGAGCGUACGUCGCGACGCGUCCGUCCCGAGCCGCUACAGAAACAAAAAUUAAUUACAUAUAUUGAAAUCACAAACUAAACUAAUCAGCCAGACCAGGCCGUAGCAGAGCAGAGCAGUGGCAGCGACAGAGAGGAGAGCAGAGAGCGAGCGAAUCAGCUGCAUGAAAGCUAAAUACUAGUACAAGAAAAAGCUUGCUCAGCGCUUUCUCAAAGCGGGUGUGCGAAAGAGAGAGACAGAAAAAGGGAGAGAGAGAGAUGUCUGUCUGCGUUGUCAAGAAGACCUUGACUAAGGUUUCCGGCCGGGAAACCGUUACAUCGCUCAGAUUGAGUAUUACACUAUACAGCGGCAGCAUACAGAAGCAUUCCGAGAGAGAGCUUAUUUCGGUGUAAGCUUUUCGAGCAGCAGAGAGCAGAGUGACGCGACAGUUUGUCGCUUUUUAGUCUAUGAACUUGACGCUUGAUUUUUACACCAUGUACGCCUCCCCGCAACCCCAACCUAAUCCAUCACCACAAUCACCACACAACACAAACAACCAAAUUUAUAAACACAAACACACAAAAGCUUGCCGAGGAAAAGAGCAACAGCAACAGCAACUACAAUAGGAAAAGCAUAAUUGCCGAACGCCAGAUUUUUAAUAAGCGGCUGGUGUUGCGCCUUUGUCGUUGCCGUUGUUGCUGCUGCUGCGUAUGAUGUUACUGUUGUUCGCGCUGCACUGGAAGAAACUAUGGAACAACAAGCUAUGCUGGAGGCGCCACCUCGCCAUCCGCUGCAGCAAGGCCUAAGCAAAGCGAAGACGCGUCGUUGGACUUGGACUGAUGCCGACUGACUGAGAUCCAAGUCCAAGGUAGUCCUUAAAGCUGGGCCAGGACGUGCUCAGACAGCUUUCGGUUUGACAAAAGCUUUUCGGCAUCCCCUAUACUCUGCUCCGAUCCAAAGGAGUUGGAGCAGUAGGUAAGAGCACAGCAGAGCAGACAGGGCGCAUACGCAACAUUCGAAAUGCGUGAAAACAGUCUCACCAUCUCGCUUUCACCCCUAGAGCUUGGAAAUAGAAAGGAGUGCGCGUCUUGCGCUCCUCUCUACACUUCUUGGUUUAUACGUUUACUUGUUUAAUCUUUCGAUAAGACAAUCAAAAUAAUAAAAAGUGCGAGAGCGCUAUAAUGAAGA